AGAGUUUGAUCCUGGCUCAGGUUGAACGCUGGCGGCAUGCCUAACACAUGCAAGUCGAACGGUAGCAGGCCUUCGGGUGCUGACGAGUGGCGGACGGGUGAGUAAUGCGUAGGAAUCUGUCUUUUAGUGGGGGACGAACCCACGGGAAACGUUAGGGUCGUAAUACCGCCAUGAGCCCCUCGAGGGGGGAAAGGACGGGGGAGUCUUCGGUACCUCGCGCUAAGAGAAGAGCCUACGUCUGAUUAGCUAGUUGGUAGGGUAAAGGGACCUACCCAAGGACGACGAUCAGUAGCUGGUCUGAGAGGACGACCACGCCACACUGGGACGUGAGACACGGCCCACGACUCCCUACCGGGAGGCGAC
rnacentral:rRNA from 1 species